AUCUUCAUUUUACUUUCGGUCUUUUUGUUCAGUUCUUUAAAUCCUUGCCAUAGUAUCUUUGACUCCCUCCAUUUUCUCAUAAUCAAAACCCAACAGUCUUCACAAAAAUCUCGCUUAAUAUAGUACUUUUGAUUGUUUCUUGUUGCCUUAGCUCUGUUUUCAGUUUCAAUGGCGGAUAUGAAGGAAGUUGAUGACGCAGAAGAGAUCAUGGUUAACGGAAUCAUUGGAAGUGCUCAGAAUUGGAGAUUUGCAGCAAAGCAGUUUUUGAAAAACUAUCCUGAGGAUGUUACUGUUCAUUGCAGUGAGCGCAAUUCUUCAACAUUAACAUUUGAUGGUGUCGAUGUAAUGGGUGACAGAUUAGCAUAGGAGGUUCCAUUGUUUGGUGGAUCCUAUGCACUUGAAAAACUUGCUGCUCGAAUAUCAUGGUUGUUUGGCAGAACUGGAAAACAUUUGUUUCUGAAGGAUGGAAAGAAUGGAAAACCACCGCUUCUUCUCCGGAUGGUCAGUGAUUGCAAAGAUCUUAAAUUUAUCUCUGCUUUGCUGUCCUUCAGGCGUCGUGUUGCAUAUGCAAAUAUGGUCAUAGAAGAUUGGAGCAGCCUUCAAUGGAAUACCAUCUGUGUUUUGCCAGUUCUCAGAUGCAUGCUGCUUCUCAUGGUUGUAUUUGCUUUUUGGAACACUAGAAAAACCAUUAACCAUUAUAGUCAGACAUGUUAAAUACCUUAUUAGAGGCAUAACACAUUUUAUUUGAAAUGUUUAUCCAUGGAUGAACUAGAGUGAUUUAUUAGAA